ACGCACGCUGGCGGCGCGUCUUAAGCAUGCAAGUCGAACGGCAAGAGAGGAGCUUGCUUCUCUCCUAGAGUGGCGGACUGGUGAGGAACACGUGGGUAAUCUACCCUUAAGAUGGGGAUAGCUGCUAGAAAUAGCAGGUAAUACCGAAUACACUCGGCAUAUCACAAGAGGUGUUGAGGAAAGGAAGCUACGGCUUCGCUUGAGGAUGAGCUUGCGUCCCAUUAGCUAGUUGGUGAGGUAAAGGCCCACCAAGGCGACGAUGGGUAUCCGGCCUGAGAGGGUGAACGGACACAUUGGGACUGAGAUACGGCCCAAACUCCUACGGGAGGCAGCAGCUAAGAAUAUUCCGCAAUGGACGGAAGUCUGACGGAGCGACGCCGCGUGGAUGAAGAAGGCUGAAAAGUUGUAAAAUCCUUUUGUUGAUGAAGAAUAAGGGUGAGAGGGAAUGCUCAUCUGAUGACGGUAAUCGACGAAUAAGCCCCGGCUAAUUACGUG
rnacentral:rRNA from 1 species